CACGUAGGGGGCGAGCGUUGUCCGGAAUCAUUGGGCGUAAAGAGCUCGUAGGCGGCUCAGUAAGUCGGGUGUGAAACCCCCAGGCUCAACCUGGGGACGCCACCCGAUACUGCUGUGGCUAGAGUCCAGUAGAGGAGUGUGGAAUUCCCGGUGUAGCGGUGAAAUGCGCAGAUAUCGGGAGGAACACCAACGGCGAAGGCAGCACUCUGGGCUGGAACUGACGCUGAGGAGCGAAAGCGUGGGUAGCAAACAGG
rnacentral:rRNA from 1 species